AAAUUGAAGAGUUUGAUCAUGGCUCAGAUUGAACGCUGGCGGCAGGCCUAACACAUGCAAGUCGAACGGUAACAGGAAACAGCUUGCUGUUUCGCUGACGAGUGGCGGACGGGUGAGUAAUGUCUGGGAAACUGCCUGAUGGAGGGGAUAACUACUGGAAACGGUAGCUAAUACCGCAUAACGUCGCAAGACCAAAGAGGGGGACCACUGCCUGAUGGAGGGGGAUAACUACUGGAAACGGUAGCUAAUACCGCAUAACGUCGCAAGACCAAAGAGGGGGACCCUCGGGCCUCUUGCCAUCGGAUGUGCCCAGAUGGGAUUAGCUUGUUGGUGGGGUAACGGCUCACCAAGGCGACGAUCCCUAGCUGGUCUGAGAGGAUGACCAGCCACACUGGAACUGAGACACGGUCCAGACUCCUACGGGAGGCAGCAGUGGGGAAUAUUGCACAAUGGGCGCAAGCCUGAUGCAGCCAUGCCGCGUGUAUGAAGAAGGCCUUCGGGUUGUAAAGUACUUUCAGCGGGGAGGAAGGGAGUAAAGUUAAUACCUUUGCUCAUUGACGUUACCCGCAGAAGAAGCACCGGCUAACUCCGUGCCAGCAGCCGCGGUAAUACGGAGGGUGCAAGCGUUAAUCGGAAUUACUGGGCGUAAAGCGCACGCAGGCGGUUUGUUAAGUCAGAUGUGAAAUCCCCGGGCUCAACCUGGGAACUGCAUCUGAUACUGGCAAGCUUGAGUCUCGUAGAGGGGGGUAGAAUUCCAGGUGUAGCGGUGAAAUGCGUAGAGAUCUGGAGGAAUACCGGUGGCGAAGGCGGCCCCCUGGACGAAGACUGACGCUCAGGUGCGAAAGCGUGGGGAGCAAACAGGAUUAGAUACCCUGGUAGUCCACGCCGUAAACGAUGUCGACUUGGAGGUUGUGCCCUUGAGGCGUGGCUUCCGGAGCUAACGCGUUAAGUCGACCGCCUGGGGAGUACGGCCGCAAGGUUAAAACUCAAAUGAAUUGACGGGGGCCCGCACAAGCGGUGGAGCAUGUGGUUUAAUUCGAUGCAACGCGAAGAACCUUACCUGGUCUUGACAUCCACGGAAGUUUUCAGAGAUGAGAAUGUGCCUUCGGGAACCGUGAGACAGGUGCUGCAUGGCUGUCGUCAGCUCGUGUUGUGAAAUGUUGGGUUAAGUCCCGCAACGAGCGCAACCCUUAUCCUUUGUUGCCAGCGGUCCGGCCGGGAACUCAAAGGAGACUGCCAGUGAUAAACUGGAGGAAGGUGGGGAUGACGUCAAGUCAUCAUGGCCCUUACGACCAGGGCUACACACGUGCUACAAUGGCGCAUACAAAGAGAAGCGACCUCGCGAGAGCAAGCGGACCUCAUAAAGUGCGUCGUAGUCCGGAUUGGAGUCUGCAACUCGACUCCAUGAAGUCGGAAUCGCUAGUAAUCGUGGAUCAGAAUGCCACGGUGAAUACGUUCCCGGGCCUUGUACACACCGCCCGUCACACCAUGGGAGUGGGUUGCAAAAGAAGUAGGUAGCUUAACCUUCGGGAGGGCGCUUACCACUUUGUGAUUCAUGACUGGGGUGAAGUCGUAACAAGGUAACCGUAGGGGAACCUGCGGUUGGAUCACCUCCUUA
rnacentral:rRNA from 1 species